rnacentral:rRNA from 1 species
GGUAGCAUAAUCAUUAGUCUCCUAAUUAGAGGCUUGUAUGAAUGGUCGGACAAGAUGGGAACUGUCUCAGUAUAAAAAAUGGAAAUUAAUAUUUAAGUAAAAAAGCUUAAAUAGUGUGGAGGGACGAUAAGACCCUAUAAAGCUUUAUAAUAUAUUUUCUGUUAUAUAAAUUGUUAAUUGUUAACUUAUUAAAGAAAUAAUAUUAUUUUACUGGGGCGGUAAAAGUAUAUAGUUUAGGGUAACUGCUUUUGUUAUUAUAAACAAUGAUAAUUGAAUGAUAUAUUGAUCCAUUAUUAGUGAGCAUAAGGACAAGUUACUUUAGGGAUAACAGCGUAAUUUUUCUUGAGAGUUCUUAUCGAAAGUAAAGUUUGCGACCUCGAUGUUGAAUUAAGGAAGCCUUAAGGUGCAGCAGUUUUAGUGGCAGAUCUGUUCGAUCUUUAAAUCUUUACAUGAUUUG